rnacentral:rRNA from 1 species
AUGCCCGACGUGGUGAAUGUGGCCCGACAAUGUGGUCCGGCGCCGCAACAGUGGGAAUCAGAGUAUGGAGCACGGAGCACGGAGCACGGAGCACGGACCGAAAAUUGUUUCUCUCGGCCAAACGCUGUGGACCUGAGUACUAGUAGUACCAUGGAACCCGGCUACGCAGCUCAUAAAGUGAGGGAGCCCCCUGUUUCCCCUGCAUCUCGCUCGACGCUGAAUCCAUUCCCCGCGCGCCUAUAUAAACACCUCGCCUCUGUGUACUCAACGUCUCAACCAGAGCACACAAGAAUCAUAUCAAAGCGCGCGAGAGAUCGACCUGUCCAUCGAAAGCACAAGAUAGAGAUGAGCUCGUCGGCGACCAAGAAGGGGGUGUCGCUGGUGGUGGCGACGGGCAUGGCGGCCGUGGAGGCGCUCAAGGACCAGGCCGGGCUGUGCCGUUGGGACUGCGCUCCGCUCGCUCUACCACCGCGCCGUCGUCACCGGCUGCCGGCCGACGCGCCGUUCCGGCGUCCCUCUCCUCCUCCAAGCCCGCCACCGGCAGCGGGGCCUCCCGGCCCAGGCGGUCGGAGCAGGAGAAGCUGCACAAGGCGUAUCACGUCGUCUGCUGGGGACCCAACUGGUUCGUGCUAG